ACGCUCGACAGUGUCAGCCGCCGCGGUAAUACAGAGGGUGCGAGCGUUAAUCGGAUUUACUGGGCGUAAAGCGUGCGUAGGUGGCCAAUUAAGUCAAAUGUGAAAUCCCCGAGCUUAACUUGGGAAUUGCAUUCGAUACUGGUUGGCUAGAGUAUGGGAGAGGAUGGUAGAAUUCCAGGUGUAGCGGUGAAAUGCGUAGAGAUCUGGAGGAAUACCGAUGGCGAAGGCAGCCAUCUGGCCUAAUACUGACACUGAGGUACGAAAGCAUGGGGAGCAAACAGGAUUAGAUACCCUGGUAGUCCAUGCCGUAAACGAUGUCUACUAGCCGUUGGGGUCUUUGAGACUUUAGUGGCGCAGCUAACGCGAUAAGUAGACCGCCUGGGGAGUACGGUCGCAAGACUAAAACUCAAAUGAAUUGACGGG
rnacentral:rRNA from 1 species